GGCGUCCAAAAAAAAAAAAAAAAAAAAAAAAAAAAAACUAGCAGGGUUGGUCGCCAAAAAAUCGCCAAGUUACCAUAAUCCGAAGAUUAACCGAGAGAUGUCUUUAAACAGAAAUUUUUAAGGGGAAUUGACUCCUAUUGCAUUAUGCAGAUAUAGAAAAUUUAUGUUUGGUUGAUUAUAUCAAAGCACAAUAGGGCUGUCUGCCUGAGGAGAGGAAUGCCAUUGUGGAGGUGGUUCUAAAAGAAACUGGCUGGUAUGCACAUUACACAUGGGGGCAACCACGAAAACACCCAUGCAUCCAGCCCAUUUUUCUGGAAUUUAAUCCAGGUCGGAACUGCCAGAGUUGAACAAUUUUACUGCACAACUGUUGGUGGGCUAUACAUUUAGAAAACAAUGAGUCGUGCAUAAUGUAUUGAAUUAUUAUGUAGUAUACUUUAUCUGUUUGGUUAUUCUGCAUUCAUUUGAAUGAACUGCAAAUGGUAUUAAAUACAUCUGUUGCUUAUUUUAAGAUGUGGUGAGAGCAGUGAUAAGAGUAUGAUUUCAUAAAUUAUCUCAUAUGAUAAUUUUCAUGUCAUAAUGUGAUAAUUUGUUAUUUGUGUUUCUAAUUUUUCUCAUUUUUACAGAAACAAAAUAUGUACAGUCUAUAUAUCUGUUCUCAGUUUCUUAAUUUCUUUCUUCCCCAAACUAAAAUUUCAUCUGAGAGGCCAUUAUUAUGAAAGUGUGGAUGAUAUCUUGAAAGUCAUGAUGGACCAGUUGAAGGUGAUCAUACAUGAUGAUUUUCAAUUUUGUUUCAAUUGAAGUUGCAUCUUCAGUAGAGUGUAAGAAACUGUUUCAGAUAUGAUGUGAUAUGGAUUUAUUUCUCUAGGAACAUGGAAAAUGACUGUGAACCACCAGUUUAUUACAAUACAUAUACUGGAACUAGAAUGCAGACAUAUAUGAUGGAUGAAAAAUAUGUAUGUAUGGUAUGUGGGAAAAUGUUCUCUAUGAAGGGCAAUUUAAGUGUUCAUAUGCUUAUACACACAGGAGAACGCCCUCAUCAGUGUGAAUCCUGUCUGAAAGUAUUUAGACAUAGAAAUUCUCUUAAUCGUCAUAAAAGAACUCGACACAGAAGAAUGCUUAUUGGCAAUACUUUGAGUGUUACAUCAUCUUAAUUUGUAAAGUUACAUGUGUGACAGUUAGAAGAUUUUCUUAACAGCAUUACAUCCUUUAGAACAGCAUUGUUCUCACUUCUGCUCAAAUAAGAUUAAGGAUUAUAGAAAAAAACAGAAUAUUUUUAAUAACUUCUGAACAGACCAGUAAUCCACUUGAAUACUUAAAUCAAAUGCAGGUUUUUCAACUCUUUCCAUUCCUUAUCCCCAGGAAAAGAAUUUUCUCAGGAAAUGGAUAACCAUAUAUUUGACUGUAAAAUGUGUUCUUAUGCUACAAAUAAUCGAGGUAAUCUUAGACGACACAUUCGCAUUCAUACAGGAGAGCGUCCAUUCCACUGUCAUUACUGCAGUGCAAAGUUUUCACAAAAAGAGCAUGUGAAGAGGCAUAUCAUUACUAAGCAUGGACAAAAUUUAUUACUUUUGAUAUUUCAACUCUGGAUCUGUCCUAUCUUCUGUAUUGGAAUCAUGUCAUAAGAAAAUGACCAAACAUAUUGUGUCUUGUGAAUUCUGCCAUUAUGUUGCAGAUAGACGUAACAUUAAAAGACACCUGCGCACUCAUACCGGAGAGCGUCCGUUCAGCUGUUAUCAUUGCAAUUCAAGGUUUUCACAAAAGGUACAUUUAACUAAACAUAUUGCGUGCAAGCAUAAAGAACUUUACCUUAAAUACUUUUAAAAAAAAAUUAACCUAUCAAAAAUAAAUGCUGAUUUAACUAUCUUCAACAUCAGCAUAUUAAUUUUUAAGUGUUUAAAUAUAUAUAUAUGAAUUGUAUUUUGCUGUAUAAUAAAAUUACAAUAUAUGCAAAAA